rnacentral:misc_RNA from 1 species
UGGACGAACGCCGAAAGAACGGCGGCCCGACUCGCACUAAACUGCGCAAGCAUGAUGUUCCCAAACUGUCGAUGAACCACAAGCACACGCGCCUUCAAUAGGCACGGCACCACGUCAUUCCGUCAGUUCAGGAAAUUGGGGGNNGGGAGGGAGUGUUAUCGACGACACCCCGAUCGUUCUCGGACGCACAGGCGGACGUCAGCGCGAUGGGAUUGACGAUCAUCAUGACCGUCGCAGGCAGCGCAAUCACGCACAUCAUGCCACAGCACUGCGCGCCCAAGACAUCAUGCUGACCGUUCGCGG